AAAUGUCUGGCGGGAGUGGGUUGUUUAUACAAUGACCCGCGCAUCACUGACUGAUUCGCAUUGGCUACCCGCCAAUGUGGCUGGUAGAUUGACAGUGUUAACCGCCAAUUGCAAAAUCCACCCGCAUUUGGCGCGUGGUCGAGUGUUAAUUUCAUGCCAUGGUUAUUAGUCAUGUUCGACUUCGUGCUUCGCUGGGAGAACCGACAUCAUACGUUGAUGAUGUCAAUGUAUCGCGAGAGCGAGUCAAGAAGUUACACUCUCGCGGUACAUUGACGUUAUCAACCUGUCAGCGCAGCAAGAAGUCGAACACACGUAUUUGCGGGCGCGCGCCUCCGUCCUCGUGAGUUGGAUUUUAACCGUUUACCUCAGACGACAGUUUUCAUGUCUAUUGUAGAAACUAAAUGCCUAAUACAUGGACUUUCCCAAACACCCCUAUCGUUUCAUCAGAAAUGGACUGUCCCAAAAGUUCGCGCGGGGGUUGCCAGGUUACGGAGCGGGAGAGAGAACCGGCGGCACGUUGUAGAUAGUUUAUAGACCGAAACAGAUGGAUUAAGUGCCAAAGUAUUGAAGUGUUUAUUGAUUAUGUAUACGUGUGCAUGCAUCACGAUAACCACACAUUUCUUAUUCAAUAAACAAACCUACAUUUCUUGAGAUAUCGUUGUCUUGACCAGCAACCUGUAGCCUUCAGCAAUCCAACCAGUGGUUGAAAAAGAGAUUUUACAUCUAUGGCAAAUUCUAAGGUCAUUUUCUUGUUGUGUUUUGAUGUUUUCCAUUGGCUGAAGAAUCAGCAAUCCAGACCAGCUAAAACCAGCCUGGCCAUCUUAAACCAGCCUGACCAGCUAAGACCAGUCACCCGACCAGCUAAGACCAGUCACCCGACCAGCUAAGACCAGCCACCCGACCAGCUAAGACCAGCCACCCGACCAGCUAAGACCAGCCACCCGACCAGCUAAGACCAGCUUAAACCAGCCUGGCCAUCUUAAACCAGCCUGGCCAUCUUAAACCAGCCUGGCCAUCUUAAACCAGCCUGACCAGCCACCCGACCAGCUAAGACCAGCUUAAACCAGCCUGGGCAGCUUAAACCAGCUAAGACCAGCCAUCCUGACCAGCCAUCCUGACCAGCUAAAACCAGCCUGACCAGCUAAAAAGUCGCCAAAACCCCUCUUAAACCAGCAUGAAACACCAGCUAUGACCAGGCUGGGAGACCAGCUAAAACCAGCUUGACCAGCUUAAGCUAGUUUUAGCUGUUUUUUUCAGCAGGGUGAUCAGUAAAAGCUGACACUUACGCUGCAUGCUGCCUUAACUCCUCCAGUUUGCAUUGCAAUUUAUCAUUCGCCUGCUCCGUCUAGAAAAACCAUGCCAGUUUAGAAGAUUAGCUUUUAUUUAACUAAGUUAACAAAAACACCUGGUGAUGAGCUAAAAAUGUCAUUACCAUGAUAAUUCUUUCGAACAUGAGCGCCAUCUGCCCUACGGCCUCACUCAGCUCUCGGCUCAGCUUGCUGUUUUCAUCUUGCAGAUUGCGGUUCAGCUCCAGGAUCUUUGAGACGUUAUCUGCCGGCUCGCACCUAUGGAAACAAAGAUAUUGUCACAUCCACAACUGCACAGAUGAUUUAUUUCUCGUCCCAAUUUUGCAUUUUUGUAGAGACAUAAGGACGUCAUACCCAGUCAAUACAGGAGCAACUCCUCCACGAGCGUGUAGCAGCAUCACUUGAGGAUCUUGAACCUGAGUUAGAAAAACAAUAAAGCUGAAUUUUCAUAACAUGAAGCUAAAAACAUUAACCUGAAUUAUAACUGCUCAAAUAUCCGCUUAAAAAAUAUAAAAUUUCUAGGUACCUGC